rnacentral:rRNA from 1 species
UACGUAGGGGGCUAGCGUUGUCCGGAAUCAUUGGGCGUAAAGCGCGUGUAGGCGGCCCGGUAAGUCCGCUGUGAAAGUCGGGGGCUCAACCCUCGGAUGCCGGUGGAUACUGUCGGGCUCGAGUGCGGAAGAGGCGAGUGGAAUUCCUGGUGUAGCGGUGAAAUGCGCAGAGAUCAGGAGGAACACCAAUGGCGAAGGCGACUCGCUGGGACGUAACUGACGCUGAGACGCGAAAGCGUGGGGAGCAAACAGG